CCCGACUGCUAUCAGAGUAGGACUAAGCCAUGCGAGUCGACGUAGCAAUGCGUGGCGAACGGCUCAGUAACACGUAGUCAACAUGCCCAGGGGACGUGGAUAACCUCGGGAAACUGAGAAUAAACCACGAUAGGUCAUGAUUUCUGGAAUGGAUCAUGGCUCAAAUCUACAUGGCCCCUGGAUUGGACUGCGGCCGAUCAGGCAGUUGGUGAGGUAAAGGCCCACCAAACCUAUAACCGGUACGGGCUCUGAGAGGAGAAGCCCGGAGAUGGGCACUGAGACAAGGGCCCAGGCCCUAUGGGGCGCAGCAGGCGCGAAACCUCUGCAAUAGGCGAAAGCCUGACAGGGUUACUCUGAGUGAUUUCCGCUAAGGGGAUCUUUUGGCACCUCUAAAAAUGGUGCAGAAUAAGGGGUGGGCAAGUCUGGUGUCAGCCGCCGCGGUAAUACCAGCACCCCGAGUGGUCGGGACGAUUAUUGGGCCUAAAGCAUCCGUAGCCGGUUCUGCAAGUCUUCCGUUAAAUCCAGCCCGCUCAACGGAUGGGCCGCGGAGGAUACUACAAGACUAGGAGGCGGGAGAGGCAAGCGGUACUCAGUGGGUAGGGGUAAAAUCCUUUGAUCCAUUGAAGACCACCAGUGGCGAAGGCGGCUUGCCAGAACGCGCUCGACGGUGAGGGAUGAAAGCUGGGGGAGCAAACCGGAUUAGAUACCCGGGUAGUCCCAGCUGUAAACGAUGCAGACUCGGUGAUGGGCUAGCCUUGUGCCAGCCCAGUGCCGCAGGGAAGCCGUUAAGUCUGCCGCCUGGGGA
rnacentral:rRNA from 1 species